GACGAACGCUGGCGGCGUGCUUAACACAUGCAAGUCGAACGGAAGGGCCCUGCUUUUGUGGGGUGCUCGAGUGGCGAACGGGUGAGUAACACGUGAGUAACCUGCCCUUGACUUUGGGAUAACUUCAGGAAACUGGGGCUAAUACCGGAUAGGAGCUCCUGCUGCAUGGUGGGGGUUGGAAAGUUUCGGCGGUUGGGGAUGGACUCGCGGCUUAUCAGCUUGUUGGUGGGGUAGUGGCUUACCAAGGCUUUGACGGGUAGCCGGCCUGGGAGGGUGACCGGCCACAUUGGGACGGAGAUACGGCCCAGGCUCCUACGGGAGGCAGCAGUGGGGAAUAUUGCACAAUGGGCGGAAGCCUGAUGCAGCAACGCCGCGUGCGGGAUGACGGCCUUCGGGUUGUAAACCGCUUUCGCCUGUGACGAAGCGUGAGUGACGGUAAUGGGUAAAGAAGCACCGGCUAACUACGG
rnacentral:rRNA from 1 species